ACUACUCAAGAAGAAUAAAAAAAGUGUAAUUUCACUAAAAACAGGGAUAAAGGGACGCUUAUUCCAGUGUGAGAGCGCUUCAAAAUUAGCGUCUUUUAUAACAUUUUGCAUUGUAGCCAGAUCAGUCAAAAUAAAAAUUGUUGGACAUUUAAACUAAAACACCCAACAUUUAUUAAGAUUAAAAUUAUUAUAUAUAUAUCCGAUUAACACAUGAAGGAACUAUUAAAAUCCUUUCUUGUGAUUUUGCGAUAUUUUAAAACAACUGGUUUUUGAACUUUCAAUAGUUGAGAGAGUUGAGCAUCCCUUCAUCUCUCCUAAUUUGGCUUUUAGAGAGAAUACAUAGAAAAACGCGACACAAAACCGAUCAUUAAGAAAAUUUGCAGCAUUGCGGAAAAUUGCAUUCCUAGAAUAAAACCAAUUCAGACACCUAGUAAAAAUGUUCUGCCCUAGAGACAAAUUUUCGUCAUAUUCGAGAACAAUGUAGCCGUUAAUAACUGAUACAGAAUUAAAAGGUUUAAUACAUUUAAGUGAUAUAUAUGCUAAGCCUACAAGUUGGUUCUAUUCUUAAAUUUAAAAGUGACGUGCUUUUAUGCGGAAAAUUAAUCAUAUAAAUAUUGAAGCGCGCAUGUGAAUUUACUACAAAGGCUGACGGUAGAUCACGCUUGUCGAGACACCAAUAUAAAAAACGAAGACUUGAAAAAGACCCAGAGCGACAAAAGCAAGCAGGGGCAUUAGAGUCCAUUUUGAAGAAAGGUGAUCUAAACAGACCAUCAUCACCCAUACCAGAAACCGGAGCUAUAGCUG